AAAUUAUCAAGAGUGAACGAGAGAUCUGGCUCAGCGACUUCACAGCAACCACCGGCAAACGGUAAGGUGCUCCCGCCAGCAAAGCUAUCCGCUUUGGUUGAUAAAGA
rnacentral:ncRNA from 2 species